rnacentral:rRNA from 1 species
GUGGGGAAUAUUGGACAAUGGGGGGAACCCUGAUCCAGCCAUGCCGCGUGUGUGAAGAAGGCCUUUUGGUUGUAAAGCACUUUAAGCGAGGAGGAGGCUACCGAGAUUAAUACUCUUGGAUAGUGGACGUUACUCGCAGAAUAAGCACCGGCUAACUCUGUGCCAGCAGCCGCGGUAAUACAGAGGGUGCAAGCGUUAAUCGGAUUUACUGGGCGUAAAGCGCGCGUAGGUGGCCAAUUAAGUCAAAUGUGAAAUCCCCGAGCUUAACUUGGGAAUUGCAUUCGAUAGUGGAUGGGUAGAGUAUGGGAGAGGAUGGGAGAAUUCCCGGUGUAGGGGUGAAAUUCGUAGAGAUCUUGAGGAAUACCGAUGGCGAAGGCAGCCAUCUGGCCUAAUACUGACACUGAGGUGCGAAAGCAUGGGGAGCAAACAGGAUUAGAAACCCUGGUAGUCC